AGAGUUUGAUUCUGGCUCAGGAUGAACGCUGGCGGCGUGCUUAACACAUGCAAGUCGAACGAGGGCGAUAGCAAUAUUGCCCGAGUGGCGGACGGGUGAGUAACGCGUGAACAAUCUGCCUGUAUCAGGGGAAUAACACUAAGAAAUUGGUGCUAAUACCGCAUAAGACCACGGAGAGGCAUCUCCCCGGGGUAAAAGAAUAAUCGGAUACAGAUGAGUUCGCGUCCCAUUAGGUAGUUGGUGAGGUAACGGCCCACCAAGCCGACGAUGGGUAGCCGGACUGAGAGGUUGGCCGGCCACACUGGAACUGAGACACGGUCCAGACACCUACGGGUGGCAGCAGUCGAGAAUCAUUCACAAUGGGGGAAACCCUGAUGGUGCGACGCCGCGUGGGGGAAUGAAGGUCUUCGGAUUGUAAACCCCUGUCAUGUGGGAGCAAAUUAAAAAGAUAGUACCACAAGAGGAAGAGACGGCUAACUCUGUGCCAGCAGCCGCGGUAAUACAGAGGUCUCAAGCGUUGUUCGGAAUCACUGGGCGUAAAGCGUGCGUAGGCUGUUUCGUAAGUCGUGUGUGAAAGGCGCGGGCUCAACCCGCGGACGGCACAUGAUACUGCGAGACUAGAGUAAUGGAGGGGGAACCGGAAUUCUCGGUGUAGCAGUGAAAUGCGUAGAUAUCGAGAGGAACACUCGUGGCGAAGGCGGGUUCCUGGACAUUAACUGACGCUGAGGCACGAAGGCCAGGGGAGCGAAAGGGAUUAGAUACCCCUGUAGUCCUGGCAGUAAACGGUGCACGCUUGGUGUGCGGGGAAUCGACCCCCUGCGUGCCGGAGCUAACGCGUUAAGCGUGCCGCCUGGGGAGUACGGUCGCAAGAUUAAAACUCAAAGAAAUUGACGGGGACCCGCACAAGCAGCGGAGCAUGUGGUUUAAUUCGACGCAACGCGAAAAACCUUACCAGAACUUGACAUCUAGUGAAGAACCUUGUAAUGAGGUUCGUCCCUUCGGGGACACGA
rnacentral:rRNA from 1 species